rnacentral:rRNA from 1 species
AUUGAACGCUGGCGGCAGGCCUAACACAUGCAAGUCGAGCGAGCGGCGGACGGGUGAGUAAUGUCUGGGAAACUGCCUGAUGGAGGGGGAUAACUACUGGAAACGGUAGCUAAUACCGCAUACCAUCAGAUGUGUCCAGAGGGGAUUAGCUAGUGGGUGGGGUAACGGCUCACCUAGGGGACGAUCACUAGCUGGUCUGAGAGGUUGACCAGCCACACUGGAACUGAGACACGGUCCAGACUCCUACGGGAGGCAGCAGUGGGGAAUAUUGCACAAUGGGCGCAAGCCUGAUGCAGCCAUGCCGCGUGUGUGAAGAAGGCCUUCGGGUUGUAAAGCACUUUCAGCGGGGAGGCGUUACCCGCAGAAGAAGCACCGGCUAACUCCGUGCCAGCAGCCGCGGUAAUUC